rnacentral:rRNA from 1 species
UGCGUAGGUGGUGGCGUAAGUCGGAUGUGAAAUCUCGGAGCUCAACUCCGAAACGGCAUUGGAAACUGCGCUGCUAGAGGGUUGGAGGGGGGACUGGAAUGCUUGGUGUAGCAGUGAAAUGCGUAGAUAUCAAGCGGAACACCAGUGGCGAAGGCGAGUCCCUGGACAACACCUGACACUGAGGCACGAAAGCUAGGGGAGCAAACA